AGAGAAUUGGGAAUUUCAAGAAGUGCAUCCGGAAAUUAAGGAAGUCUAUUUAAGAGCGUCUGUAACUCAGAGGUUGGGAUUUGAAAAGUCAGCCCUGGACUACUGUUGCACUCCGCACAGAUGUAAUCGCCGCUCUUCAACUUAAUCAAUUGAUUGCUGGCACAUUUUGUUCAAAGUGAAUUCAGACAGAAGAGACUAAGGAGCAUCACAAAGGCCUCAACAAUGAUAAAAUGUGUAGAAACUGAAGUGAUGACACUAAGUGCUGAGGCCUACCUACAGGCUGCUGGAGCCACAGUGAAAUUCUGAGCACCCAUGAGGGGAGAAGGGAGAGAUAAGACAUGUGGGGCCUGCUGGUCUCUGGAAG